UGUUUAAAAGAUGCCUGUCAAAAUAAUAAGAAAGAGUUACACAAAUGUUUUGUGAAUUUAUUUUAUUUCUGAAAGUUUUGUGUAUGAGCCAAUCACUGGAGAGGUCAAGGGUAAGAAGGAAGUGAGAGACAGACGUCAGUGAGACGAACGUGAGCGAGUUUGUGCGGAGGAAAAAGACGGUUACUGUUAAUGUAAUGCACCUGAAAAUAAAGUGAACUCGAACACUUAUACAAGUAAUUAGUGGUGAUAGUUCUGUUUGUUUGAGUGAAAAACUCGACAGACAUAAGUUUAAGUUAGCCGCUGUCGCUGAUUUAGUGGUUAGUGUUUUGCAUAGACUUUGCUGAUAAGCUAGCGGCCAGCGACCUUAAUUAUUUAAGUCUGUGUGAAAAUAUGAAACCGGAGAUGAUCAAAGACUUUCCCGCAGCCGGAUAGCGUUGUCGAGUGAUGGACUUUGCUGAGAUCGUCAACCGUGUGAACCUUCUCUUGAUCCGUCUUCUCAUCAUCACGAAUCCUCUCUUCCUGUCUUUUGCUGCUGACGUCGUUGAUCAGAAGCACUGUCUGAGGACAGAACAAGCUCAACAGCUACAAUGUUUUAAAAGCAGUUUCCAGAAUCUGAGUCCAGCUCCUGGACCCCUGCCAACAUCGUCUGUGUCUUACGACCACACAAACAGAAGAAACUACUGUGACUCAAUACUGCCCCCUGUUGUCCAUAAGGCGCUUCAUCCACCAGGGAGUGGAGGUUUAUUGGUUCAUCGAUGGCAGCGAGAUGCCUGUGGCGCUCAAGCAGGCCUCUGUUGGGCAGACUGACACCCCAACGGGCUGCAAUUACCCCACAGCAAAACCUAUUGUCUGUGUGUCACCCCCUGAUGAGCGCACACUGUGAAUAGAGAAUGCUGGCGGAUACACUAACAGAAUCAUUUUGCGUCCGUUUAAAAGGACAACGGGAAAAAGAGAGAGUGAAAAAGUAUCAGUGGAGAAAUUAGUGUUGCUAAAACAGCGGUUCAGAAGACUUCAGUCACAUGGAAGAAAGCUGUGAUUAGUCCAAUCUGUCAUUAGUGUCUCACUGACGGAGACAUUAGCCUUGACAGAGGAGUAAAACGUUGCUCGGUGAGAUCUUUACGCCAAAUACGUCACCCUUCAUCACUGAUUCAGAACUAGCGUAUGUAGCUCCAGAGCAAUGCAUUAAGGAAUGUCCUUAACAUUUUAAUUUCGUCAUUUACUCAUUCUCAUGUUGUUCGGAGUCAAUGCGACUUGCUUUCUUCCGUGAAACAACAACAAAAAAGGAGAUUUUUUGAAGAAUGUGCUGGUCACUCUUUUCAGUGCCAUUACAAUGAAUGAGGCUUAUAAAUAUGGUCCAAAAGAUUUCUGAAGCCAUAUAGUAAGUGGGAAAAAAUACAAUUAAAACAGGAAAAAUAAACAAAAAUUUAAUAAAGCCUAACAUCAGUCUAAAGGAACAACAACAAAAAAGUACACCAACACAGUGAAAAUAGAAAAGUGGAAAAAUACUAUUUUAAAAAUGAAACCAGUAGUAAGAUAAAUAAAAAAACCUGACCUCACAUCAGUUCAGUGUUCCCAUCCUCCUGACUCCCUGGAGAACCCUUGCUAACAGACGCAUAUAGAUGAGGCUGUAAUUGGCUGACCCCGGGCAUCUUUCCGCAGGCUUAAUUAGGCUGCCAGUCUGUCCCCAGAUUGUCCCUAUUCUCAACCGUCCACAGUUUCAGUUUCAGAAGAGUAGCAUGUUAUAUGUUGGAUUUGGCACCAUGAGGACACAUUCAGGAUCAUUUUUAAUGUAAGAGCUGUUUUAGGAUCUCUUUUGUAGCUUUAGUGCAUGGCGACAUGUAUUAUUAUUAAACAGAGCAAGCGUAAGUUCAUCUAGUUCAACACUUAAACUCAUAUCCAGUGUGGAUGAAGGUUGAUCAGGUGCGGUGAUGAGGUGAUGUCAUGGCCAGUCUUUAUAGGUACUUGCUAAUGAGGUGUCAAAUGUAAUCGGACACUUGGCACAGUCCGGACAUGGACUUACUGCAAUCUAACUGAAAUUAAUUGAAUAAUUCAUUAAAACUCACAUUAAAGAAUUACAACUU